UGUACUUGCCCUGUUACUGAACAUCACUGGUUUGUUAUGUUUCUUCUUUCUUUCGGCUGUUCUGUUUUUAAGUCUGUUAUUUGUGCUUUUAUGUGGAACUUUUCUGCACCGUCUCGGCUAGGACUCCUUAUCCUGGUGAAAUAAAGGAAGAAGGUCGCAGCCCCGCUGAACUCAUGGAGGAUCAUGGAGAACACAAGAGUUUGCCACAUGGGUUAUAAACAAAACUCAUUGUUGCUGUCUAACAAAAUCCUGUUGUCUUUGCAACCCUUUGAGGAUCAGAGCAACAGUUCACUAUUCUUGAUCUGCAGCACAACAUCCGUCAUUGUGAAAAAAAUCGAAUCUGUGUUUGGAGCUGCCAGGAGCCGCUCGGUGCCAGGAUCCACGAUUUAUCUGGUCAUUUGGAAACCUGAGGAGGACGAAGACGUGCAGAUGCAAACUCCUGGUUGUGUCUCUUCUUUACAGUCUUGCCCAUAAAGAUGUCCCACUAAAAUCCUCCAUAUAUUUUAAGAUACUAAUAUGUAAUGAUUGUGUCUACUCAAUCUGGAUUGGAUUACACCAGUUUUUUCAUCAAUUUGUGUUCAAAGUCCUCAGGCCUCUCUCAGUAACUACUAGCUGUUUCAAACUAUUGGUUUAUCAA